rnacentral:rRNA from 1 species
UACGAGGGGAGCUAGCGUUGUUCGGAAUUACUGGGCGUAAAGGGCGCGUAGGCGGUCCUAUAAGUCAGAUGUGAAAGCCCCGGGCUUAACCUGGGAGGUGCAUUUGAAACUGUAGAACUUGAGAUCGAGAGAGGAAAGUGGAAUUACGAGUGUAGAGGUGAAAUUCGUAGAUAUUCGUAAGAACACCAGUGGCGAAGGCGACUUUCUGGCUCGAUACUGACGCUAAGGCGCGAAAGCGUGGGGAGCAAACAGGAUUAGAUACCCUGGUAGUCCACGCUGUAAACGAUGAGUGCUAGAUGUUGGUGGAGGAAUCCAUCAGUGUCGCAGCUAACGCAUUAAGCACUCCGCCUGGGGAGUACGGUCGCAAGAUUAAA